ACACCAUGUGAGUUGUGCUGAUCACAACAGUCAUUCUAUAGAAGUCAUUGUACAGAUGGGAAUCAGGGUUAACAAAUGGAUGAAAUGUUCAGUUGACCUUGUGUUGCUGUUGUUUGUUUUUAUGUGCUUUCAAGUCAAUUCCAAGUUAUAGUGAACCUAUCACAGGGUUUUCUUGGCAAGAUCUGUUGAAAGGAAUGUUCCACUGCCUUUCUCUGGAAAGGGCUGAGAGAGUGUGACUUGCCUAAGGUCACACAAUAGGUUUCUAUGGCUAAGUAGAGUUUGAAUCUUGAUCUUUAGGGUUAUCAUCAUUAUCAUCAUGGGUGAUCAAUUAUGGUUGAGUAUGAUUGUCUUUCAGAGCUAGAGUCUUGGUGGUGGGUUCAUAAGCGACUGUGAAAAACUGUUCUAGGUCCAAAUGGUCUUUCACAUUGAGGAUACAGAUUUCCAGAUGGGAGGCUGUCACAAAAGAUAUUUGUUUGAUGUGUCUUCCUUCAAUGCUCAAACUACUGCAACAGACUAGCUCUUACACUUGUGCUAGGAAUGAAGGAAAUAAUUUGUUAGACUUAACAAUAUCAGUAGCUUUUGUAUAUAUGUGUGUCUGAAACCCACUGCAUGAAUAAACCUACAUAAUAGAUUUAUAGGUUCCUCAAAACAAUGCGCAUGUUUUAAAGUAUAAAGGGCUAGCAAUGUGAAAUUUUCCAGCACACUUUAAUGAGUGGUGAGAAGUAUGUGUAUUAUACAAUACAUAAAUGUGCUUUUUCAUAAAAAAAUGUUUAUAAUGUAUAAUACCCCUGGUGGCAUGGUGGGUUAAACUGCUGAGCUGCUGAACUUGCUGACCAAAAGGUCAGAGGUUCGCAUCUGGUGAGCGGGGUGAGCUCCCACUGUUAGUCUCAGCCUUUGCCAACCUAGUAGUUUGAAAGCAUGCAAAUAUGAGUAGAUCAGUAGGUACCACUCUGACAGAUAGGUAAUGGCGCUCCAUGCAGUCAUGCCGGCCACAUGACCUUGGAGGUGUCAAUGGACAACCCCCAGAGUCAAACACAACUAGACAAUGUCAGGGGAAAAUCCUUACUUUUACUAAUGUUCAAGAAGUUUAUCACAGGAAGAACAAAAAAAAUCACUCAACCUAAUAAAACAGGAAUUGUAAGAAUAAAUGGGUAGCUUUUGUUCUAAAAUAGCACAAAAUGAGCUUGGGUCUUUAAACACUGUAGUAUCAGUAUUUAAAAAAAUCUUUCAAAUAAAGUCCAAAGGGCACCUGGAUCUCCCAAUAAAAUUUGCAAUGUUGAACUAGAGGUUAGUGUCUCUUCAUACAAGCUAAGUGCACACAGCACAAGGGAGCUUCCAUAUCUAUUUCUGAAACAGUAGUAAGUAUCCCAUGGAGAGGAGAUAGGACGGGGUGUCUUUAAACAGCAGUAUUCAGACUACUUGUGUGUGUACAUGUGCAUUGGAGACUAAUAACAAACUGUGGGGUGAUAUAUAUUAAUGCAGAAGGAAGAUCUAAAGAACUCUCAUCCCAGUGCUAGAUCUCCAGUCAAGUUAGCAGUCUUCCCCAACAUUUCAAAUUUAGAUAUCUAACAUUAGAUGUCUUUUACCAUAACUCUGUCAGCAAUUGCUAUUCAGGAACAUCAUGGACUUGGAUAUCUCUCCCCCCUUCUGUUUUGACUCUGUAAAAGAUAGAUACAGAAUUAUACAACUUAGUCUAUAAAAUGCAGGUGUGAAUACUUAGUAUAUCUCAAAUAACUAUGUAAUAAAUGUGUGUGUCAAGUAAGUGUUUUGACACCUUGAGAUUGGAAUCCUCUUGGUGAUACAGCAGAAUAAGUACUGUUUAGACAAGUGGCUUUGCCUUUUCAGCACUUACAGUACCCUAUUAAAGACAUUUCCACAUUAAUCCACAGUGACAUGUCCCACGAGCUCAUCUCCAACCUUCUAUGACUCAAACAAACCUUGAAAAGUCCCUGAUACUAACUUCAGAAUACAGUAGAGUCUCGCUUAUCCAACGUAAAUGGGCCGGCAGAACGCUGGAUAAGUGAAUAUGUUGGAUAAUAAAGAGAGAUUAAGGAAAAGCCUAUUAAACAUCAAAUUAGGUUAUGAUUUUACAAAUUAAGCACCAAAACAUCAUGUUAUACAACAAAUUUUACAGAAAAAGUAGUUCAAUACACAGUAAUGCUAUGUAGUAAUUACUGUAUUUACAAAUUUAACACCAAAAUAUCAACAUGUAUUGAAAACAUUGACUACAAAAAUGCAUUGGAUAAUCCAGAACGUUGGAUAAGUGAGACUCUAUUGUAGUUAGAAACUACCAACAACAUGCUCCUUUUUCUAUAUUGACUGCCACUGCUCAAGCACCUCCAUCUCUGUAAGAAAAGCUUUACCUUCCUGUAAUAUUAAAUACAAUCUUCAUCUUGAACAGUGUCAUUAUAAAAUUUCUUAAAAUUCUUCAGACAGAUAACAUGUCCUAGUCCCGAAUUUCCCCUGUUUUUGAAUAGAUAAUUUGUCAUAAUAGUGUUGACAGUCCCAUUGAACAAAACUUUAUCUGGUUUUCUUUCAGUUAGUGCCUUUCUCUUUUUUCCAACCUUCCCCUACAUUUUAAAGCAAGCAAAUGCAUUUUUUUGGGGGGACAGAAGGAAGACAGUUUGACACCACUUUAACUGCCAUAGCUCAAUACUAUGGAAUCACAUGAGCUGUAGUUUUACAAGGUCUUUAGUCUUCUUUGUCAAAAAGUGCUGGUGCUUCAUCAAACUUUAAAUUGCUAGAUUCCACAGCAUGGGGCUAUGUCAAUUAAAGUGGUGUCAAACUGCAUUCAUUUUACAGUGUAGAUCCACUCUUACAAUGGUGAAAAAUAUUUUUAGGUGAGGAGCAAUAACCUGAAUGAAUUGAAGGAAUGACAUGGUUAUUCUAUAUUUGUGAUGUUCCAAAUGAGGUGUUAGGCUGGUUUGAUACCAGAAUUAUAGUUGGAGUUCUUUGGUGUAACAUAAUUACCAAGUUCUCCUCAUUGUGAACCUAUAAUAUCCUGCUAAUAUUCUUUAUGAUUCCUGUGAACAAGGCACAUCUGGGUGAAAUGGAAUGUGAGGGCAUGCUUUUGAUAGAAAAGCUGUGUAGUGCUAGAGCUUGAGUAAUAAUUUGGGAAAUAGUUCAAGAGAACUAGAUUAAUAUAACAAAAUAAAUACAGUAUCAGACAAACUUGUUGAUGGUAGAGGGCUAUGAACAUUAUCUCUCUACACAAAUAAGGCAGUGAAGAUCAAUUGUGUGCAAUGGUGAUACAUAAUAGUCAAAAAGCCUCACCACAAAGGCCAGGUGUAGCGCCCCGCUUUGCCUGGCAUCGCAGUGAUAGGAGAGGUGCAGCGGGGAGAAACUGUUGCCCUCCUGGAGAGAACCCAUGUUGUGGGAGAAGCUUCCAAUGACACUUUCACCCUGGUUGAUUCAUAGUUCGGAAUGGAGGUGAGAUAACAGGAAAUGAGAGAAAUAUAUUCCUAGGAAGGAGAAUUCACUCCUAAAAGAGUUAUCCUGGAGAAAAGGUGUCUCAACUGAAACUUGAUCACCAAUCCAAUGAUAACAGGUACAGAAAGUGAGGUGAAAUCUUCUGAACAGGGGCAUAAAGGUAAAGGUAAAGGUUUCCCCUGAUGUUAAGUCCAGUCAUGUCUGACUCUGGGGGUUGGUGCUCAUUUCCAUUUCUAAGCCGAAGAGCCGGUGUUGUCCGUAGACACCUCCAAGGACAUGUGGCCGCAUGACUGCAUGGAGCGCCAUUACCUUCCUGCCGGAGUGGUACCUAUUGAUCUACUCACAUUUGCAUGUUUUCGAACUGCUAGGUUGGCAGAAGCUGGAGCUAACAGCUGCCGCCCACGCUGCUCCCGGGGUUUGAACCAGGGGCAUAGACACAGCAUAACAAACAUUACAGGGAUAGUAACCUUUCCCUAUGCUAUCCAAAGUGUGUGUGUGUGUGUGUGUGUGUGUGUGUGUAUGGGUUACACUUAAAAAUGCACAUGUUCUGACUUACAAACUAAUUCAGCUUAAGAACAAAUCUCUAGAAAUUAUCUUGUUCCUAACCUGGGGACUGCCUGUAUAAGCAUUAAGUGUUUCCAAAGAGUGUGCAUUUAAUAUAGAUAUAAGUUGUUGUUGUUGCUGCUGUUGUCAUUAUUCUGCUUUUAUUUUUUAAGUGAGACACAAAGUGGCUCACAGCAAUAAAAGAAAAUAUAAUUUAAAAUAUAUACUAUGCAAAUAUUAAAGUAGAAUUAAACAUAAAAGUCAAUCAAAAAUUUAAGACACUUGAAAACAGUUUAAAUACCAUACAAAUCAAGAGGUGUGUGUGUUGGAGAGUGAGAGAGAGAGAGAGAGAGAGAGAGAGAGAUCGUUUGGCUCAUUCUUAAAAUAUUUCUUCUUUAAAAGUCUGCCUCAAUAAAAAGGUUUUAGCUUGCCACUAGAAGGACAACAGGGAAUUGUUCCAAAGGUAGUAGGAUUUGGGGUGAUAACAUAUGGAGAUGUCCAAGGGUGUAUAAAAGCAAACAAAAAAAAGACAAUGACUGUCUUUAGAAAAUGCAAAUUCCCUCUGUUAGAGGAAUUGAUGGCAAAUGGAGAGGCAGCUUUUUGAAGGCCUUUUCUGGGGGAAAAAUGAAUGUAUAAUAGUUUUAAUUGCAUGUUUUAAUUGAAUGGUUUGGACAGCUUAAUUGCAUUUUAUUAUUUUAUGUAAUUCAUCUGGGGAAUCCUUCUCCACUGAGAGAAUACAAUUAGAUAAAUUGAAAAUGUCAAAAAUAAUAAAUCUCCGUACUGUACCUUAACAAGGCUAAGCACCAAAGGUCAGACUGAACAAGUAAUAAUCUCAAGUCCUGAAAUUAACAAUACCAAUGAAUUAAAAUGUAUUGCACUGUGGACUCUGGCAAAAUUGAAAUCGGGGAACACCUCAGAACUGGGAACGGUCGAUAAGAGUUCCUUUGUUUUAUCCCUAGCUUAUUUCCCUACAAUCUGAUUUGCAAAUUAUAUCAUUGGGGGGUAUCUUUGAUGGAUUCCAGAUACCAAAAAGACUUUGCAAACACAAAAGAGGGGUAUUUGAACUCAAGACCUUAGUUAUUUAGCAAAGCAGAACUCACACUUUUCAGAUAUUAAACAACUGUUUUAAGAAGAUUCUUUCCUUAUAAAAGAAACAUUUCUAAUAACAUAAAUAAGUGAAAAUUGUCCAUGCAUGGGUAUGAAGGUGUCCAUGUAAAUUGGCCGCCCAUAGUUGUAUGUGUGAUGCAGUGCUUUGUGCAUUGGAGGAGGGCUCUGGAGAACAGGUUUCAAUUCUCCAUUCAUCCAUGAAAACCUAAUGGGUGAGCCUGGAUAAGUCACACUUUUUCAGCCUAAGAUGAAGGCAAAAACAAACUUCAACUGAAUAAAUAUUAGCAAGAAAAUCCUGUAAAAAAUGGCACAUUAGAGUCACAGUAUUGGAAUAGCUGCAUCUGUGUGCAGCUCUCCCAUAUGUAAAUGAUAUUUUCGUUGUUAGAGCUUUCUAGACAGGAAGAAGCACAGUAAAUCUUUCUCUUUCUGUUCAGCCUUGCUUAGAUAGCAAGGCCUUUCUGAACUCUGGCAUUUCUCUAUACUCUUAACUAUUUGAGUCUUGAUCUCAUACUAGUACCUUGAACCUUCCAGAUGUUUUGCUCUUCAGUUCAGAUAUGUUAGUUGGCUUGUUUCUGCCUCUCAUAGCAGUUAUACACAUCCAUUUAAAAUUAGUCAGGAGUGAAUUGAAGAGAACCAGUUCACUGCAGAGUACCUACACAAGAAGCCCAAUAACUUGUUGGAAGUUGGGAUGGAGGCCACAAAGUUCCACUUGAUCUUUGUUGAUCUGGACCCAUGGGUUUUUUUUCCCAUCAUUUGGUGGGAUCCACUGAUGGGCAUCACCAUGACAAACACUAAGAGGCAUUGGCAUGACCAGAUCUGAUGCACAUCACCAUGUCCAUUUGAGAUAAGAGCUAGACCAAGGCAGGGUACAACAAAUGGAGUCAAAGAGGUGGAAAAUGGGCCUUUCUGUGAGAACACUGUAAUUUCUACUUGUGUGUGUGUGGGGGGGGGGGGGGGGCGGCGGCUUGUUUGCCUUCCAGGGAGCUGUGUUUCCAGGUUUUUCAACUGAGUCAGCAUUAGCCCUGUCCUGAUGAGUGCUCCACAUUCUCAGUCUUGAUUCCAGCUCUGCAUGGGAUAUAAACUGAAUGACUGCAGCAGAUUUUGAGGCAUAUUCAAUUUUGAGAAUUUCUGGUGAGUUUUUUUAAUACACUAUUUCAGGCUGGAUGCAUGCUGCAGCAUUUUGUAGACACCCUGACCUUGAGACAGCUUUUCACUAUAUUACAAUGUCUGUGUGAAACUGCUCUCAGUGUGUCACAUGUCUCUGCGUUGGCUUUAGAUCUAGAGUACUAGUUGAUACCAAGACCCUUGGCUAAUUCCAGAUUACUGCUCAUAGCCCGGCUCUGACACAAUGGUUUAAGAAUAGCACAAUUUUCAAAUUUCUGAUACUAAUGGCUGAGUCAAGGCUUAAGGCUAAAAUCAGGAUAAGGAACAAUAGUAGUCUGGUUGACCUGAAGACCUGGUGGAUGUCCUGAAAUAGAGUUUGAACACUGAGGUGACACAAUUACUCUGGGAACUUUAUAUACACAAUUACAGCAGACUGACAUGCUGGCAUUAUCUCACUUUCUGGGAGUAGGAAUUUUUUUUUAAUAUGAAUGCUCCAUUUGAAGCUCUCAGCAGUUUUCACACUGAAAGAACCCUGAUGAUGAAUGUAGAGGGCAUUUAAACCACAGGACAGCAAAAUCUACCUUAGGAGGAACUUCCAUUAUCUGCUUGCUGAAAACUAAUUUUAAAUUUGAGUAGGUUAUAAGGAGUGCCUGCUUUCUCCUUAACAUACCCAGAUGUUACGUUUGGAACAAUGAGUUUAUAUAAAUAGAACAUAUUUUAAUUCCCAUUUCAACAUACCUAGUUAUCUAAUGUGCCUUGCUGGAGCCAUUCUCUGUCAAGAAAAUAUUGUCAAUCACUUAUUAAUAAAAGAGAGUUAAUUUAAGCCUUCUUCGAUGCUUUGAUGUUUUAAACUCUCACUCAGCAGGGAGUUUUUAAAGGAAGUCAUGAAAAUAAAGUUAUGUUUUUAUCAUCUGUGAUCUUGGCAUAGAAAUAUCUGUUUAAGGCUCAGUUUUGCUUAACCUCAUAUCUCUAGCUUAUAAAUGGAAGAAAUCUAAUAUUUUAUGCUGUGUUUGAAUGGUAUGGAAUUUGUAGCCAAACUGUUUUAAUGAAAUGUGAAGUAAAUUUUGCAGUCAUAAACUGCAGCAGGUGCUUUGCGAUGAAUUUACGCAACUGAUCUCACAGGAUUUUGCUUUUAUUCCUGAGAAAGAUUUUUAUAAGUUAAUUUGGUAAUGUCAGAUAAACUCCUUCUCAUGUCCCUGUAAAAAUAUGCCCCCGACCAAAUAAAUGAAAUAACAUAAACACAUUAUUAAACCACCCUUAAAGAACAUGUUAAAAACUAAUAGACAGCUGGAUCCCAAGUGGAUUUUUGUCAAUGACCAGCUUGAUGGAAGUAUAUGUACCUUUCUGACACAAUGCUUUAACCACAUUAUAUCUAGACUAUAGAACCAAAGUCAUUCAUUCUGCAGCUAAAAUCCCAAGGGAGGCAUUCACAUUACAGACUUCCUGGGCAAGUAAAGUCAAUCAGCAACACUGUGUCAAGGAAAACCCUGAUGACAAAAAAGCCAAUGUAAGGUCAGUACUGGUAACUGAACCCAACUCAAGAGGCAAUUGUUGGUUAGAGUAAUUUACUCUGUAUGAAAGAGAAAUAGUUUCAACACAUUAUUCUCUUCCUAGAGAAGUUUAGAAUUAUUAGAAUUAGAUCAUUCUAACUCCAUAAUAAAUAUGCAGAUGGUGCAGACUUAAGGGUUGCCAUAUUUUAGCUCCUCAAAUCCAGGCAUAUUGUGCAUAGUUGAUUUUGUUUUGCAUAUUAUACAAAGUGCUAUAGUUAUAUAUACUAUACUAAUUAUUAUAAUUAUUACUUUCUAAUUAUGUUAGUAUCUCCCAUUUUAGAGCUAUAUUUUAGUCUUGGUGUCAUUCUUUACAGUAAGUACAUUUUCAAGGGCACUAAUAAUAUUACAUCAAUAAUGCUGGACUUGAAACAGGGGGCACAUCUACAUCUCUUACCGGUAGGUCAAAUGGGCCCUGGAUCAGCUACAUGAUGAUAUUGAGUCUCCAGGCCACUAGGCUCCUUGUGAGUAAGAGCCUCUCUCAGUAGUGUGGACUGCUCUAAUCCUCAUUUUAUAAUCCUGAAACAGCUGAUAAGGGAGGUAAACAAAUGGAGCUACAGACACACAGGUGACAAAAUGGAAGCACGAGAUGACAGCAAUCCCCAUGAGAACUCUUUCCAACCACUACUUUGUUCUCAUAUCUAUGAAAUUAAACAGAACUUUAAAUUACACAGUAGGCACCAUCAUGGCAAGAAAGUGACCCCAAUGGGAAAUGGGGUUCAAGAAGACAAAGGUAAAGACAGCAGAACUGUAGAGAGAGAUAAUGACACAAAAAUCCGUUUCUGUGCACUUUCUUAUAUCUGCACCAGUUCUUAUGAAGUCCAGCACAUCUUUGGCAGAUGUCCCAUGUUCAUUGUGCGUGUUUGGAUUUUCCUUAAGAUGCUGCAAUUUUUUGCCCCACUUCUUUGUCCCAGAUUAAGAGGCUGUCUGGAAGGGCCCUCAGCCUCAGAGGCAGUCAAAACCCUGUGAUUGUUUUCUUUUGUGUUGUAAAAAGUCGGACAUGACUUUAAGACGCACAACAAUAACAGUUUCAGUUGGGGCAUCAAGAAGAUCUAGCCUUUCUCACUUCUGGAAGAACAGAGAUCUUACCUCUGUUUAAGAUAGCUAGUUGGUGAACUCUGCCUGUUUCUGACUCAAAUAUGUAUUUCCUUUCUUACUCCUUUGACUCUUCUACCUUACAAUAGAGCCAAUCUUACAGAAUCCUGAAAAGCUCUUACUCUUGCAGUUUUUCCCUCAAAACUGGAUCCCAACCAUUCUAAAGUUAAACAAAUAUUCAGGCUUUGAUCAGAGUAGAAAUUUAAUAUUUAGUAUAACAUUUUGCAUGAUUUGAAAAAUUCUGAACAGGUUAAGUAAGGCUCUCCUCCUUUAUAUAUAUAUUUUGGUAAGCACUACUUAUUUUGAGGUUUGUAUUUUCAAGUGCAAGAUAAGCCCAAGUAUUCAAAAGCUACAUCUGUUCAAAGCUUACAGAUGGUCUUUUGUAUUAUCUCUAGCUUCUGUAUAAUUAUGUGCAACACUGCAUUUCUUUGGGAGAUGUUGCCAUGUAGAGAUGCAUUAUAAUUGAACUUGAAUCUGUGCAUGCUCCGUAGGGUUUUCCACAAUGGUUAUAAUGAAUUCUUCAGUUUACACAUUGGAACCUCUUGAGCAAGGAUAAGACUUGUAGACAUUCGUGAGUGUACUACUUGUUGCUAGGUAGAAGAAAUAAGUUUUAUUUUUAUUUUAUUUUUCCUGUGAAUAAAAUAAGUCACAAACGGCUCUCUAUAGAUUUGAAAAAAAUGCCAUCUAAAUAGCAAAUGGUACCAUUUUGUUAAACUGAGCCAUCCAGCAGAAAAUUACAUUAGUGCUAUCUAAUUUAUAAAUUAUAUAUUAUAUGUGAAAUUAUGUUUUAUACUGGGACAAGGCACAUUAUUUGAUUCAAUAAAAAGCAAUCUCCUUGCCUAAGUAUUUUAUUUUAUGGAUACAAUAAAAGGGAAGAGCAAAAAGAUUUAAAAUGUGUGUUCAUUCCUGAAACAGGGAGAAAAUCUGUGUGUGUGUGUGUGUGUGUGUGUGUGUACACACACACACACACACACACACAUACACACAUACUUUCUCCAACAAGGGAGACACAAAACAAAUUGAAACAAAGUAGAAGUAAAAAAAAAAAACCAAAUCCCCAAACAAUUAUGAUAAAAUACCAUUUUUCAAAUAGCAAGGGGCCAAAUCAUACUGGGUUUAUAAGUCACAACUGCCACUUUUAAUUGAAAGCAAGAUGAUCGCAAGUUAAGAUGUUGAAUGCAACAAGGGAGUUAUGUUAUUUCUAUAAAGAACUUGCAUUGCACAAUAUAAAUGUAAUGCUCAUUGCAGCAAUAGUUCUUGUAGUUGGUUGAUAUGCUGUAUUGUCAUGUUCCACCUCCAGUCUUGCUUAUACUACACCCAUCACAGUGUACAAGCUUGAACAGAUUCAUGAUACCCUCCUAAGCCAACCAGAAUCCAACAGCUCAUGGCAGAAAGUGCCUCUUUGGUACCCUCAGGACAACAUCCCUCAACACAUAAAAUGUUGGGUGUAGGUUCAGUCAUUGGCAACAAGCCUAGGCCCAGAUAGAUGUGAUAUUUCUUGUCUUGGCUGAGUCUAAAAACACUGAGUUGAAGAGAGUUUGUAUUGCCACUCUCUUCAACCCAGUGUUUUGGAAUCAGCCAAACUCGGCACUGUAGCUGAAAGUGGAGCAGGGGCAACUGAAGCACCAUAUGUGAAAAAGGAGCAGGCAAGCAGGCAAAGCUAUUAUUUGUACAGUGCAGUAAGUAAUAUAAAAAUGGGAACCUGAAGUCUUCCCCACAUUAGCUAUACUGUUUACAGCGGGGAAGCUAUCUUCCUGCGUUGGCUAUAUUAUAUGCAAAUCAUCUGGGAGCAGAACAUUUUUUCAUCUCUUGAUAAUAAUAAUAAUAAUAAUAAUUUUAUUCUUAUAUCCCGCCCCAUCUCCCCGGAGGGACUCGGGGCGGCUUACAUGGGGCCAUGCCCAGACACGACAGCACAAAUCAGAUAAAACAUUAAACCGAGCAGUAAAACUUCAACAUGAUUAAAAACAGUCAUAAAAUAGUCACACCCAUUUUCUGUCAAAAAAGCGUAACAUGUGACUAUUGUGCAAUAAAACAUGCCCCUUCACCCCAACUGUCCUGAUUUGAUAGCAACAAUCCCCAUCAAAAAUCUGUUGUCCCAAUUUUAGGUUGCCUUUAGACUGCUUCGGUCCUCCCACUUUCUUCUUUGGUCUUCAGCUCAUUUCAAAGUGCAAAAGUAGUCUGCACAAAACUACUUCAAGAGAUGAAACAGAAAACUCAGGCAAAAGCAAACUGCUGCAAGCUCUCCUAGCUUGUGUGUUUUUCCUUAUUAAUACAUUUUGUCAUCUUGAGCAUGCUUUGAUGUUGCUGACUAUACAUGUCUCUGAUUUUAUUUUAUGUUAUUCUUUUGAAAUGCUAGUAAGUAUGAUUUAAGAAGGUCAGAAUCACCCUUAAUGUGCAAUCCUAUAAAAACUUAACAAAAACAGUGCCACAGUGGGAUAUAUAUCUAAAGAAACACAUGCAGUAUUGUACCAUUAUAUAUUAAGGAUGCAUGAGCUGUCUACAUUCAGAGAAAAAUGAGUACAAAAUUUGUUAGAGAUAAGCCACAAAGAUCUGCAGACUGGUACAAAAUAAGGAGGACGGAGUAACAGGAGGUUAUUUAUUCUUUUGAUAGCUAUUUUUGAAAGUGGGAAAAUCCACUUUUCUGUUGAAUAAACUAUGUGUUCCCAGCGGGAUCUGUGACUGAAGCAAAAUUUUACUCAUUGUAUUAUGAAGAAUUCACAUCUCUUUUAUACAAGCUCAAACCUCCAGUUCCUCAAUAUGAAUGGCGAUUGAUAUUUCAUUCCAUACUUUAUUCAUUUAUUUAAAGACCAUCUCCAUGUUAAGUUCAUUGCUAAAGCUAUCUUAAAAUUGUAAAAAAAAAAACCACACACAAUGAAAUGUGUGUAAAAAAAGAAAUCAUUUUGGAUACCUUCUAUUUACUUCACUCUUUGUGUUGUGUGGCAUGUAUAGUUUGAUUCCAUGAGUAACAAUGUAAUUAGGUCAUAUGUGUUCAUCAUUUAUCUAAAUGGCUAGUUGCCAGAAUAAAUUACAAUGCCAGAAUUACUCUCCUUAAAAACAACUUUUAAAAAAUGUAAAGUGUUAUUUCUUCAAUUUUGUUACCAGCUGCUUGAGAGUUCCAUUUGCUUUAAUUCUAGUUAACUACUGUACCUGCUUUCUUGACCCCCUUCUACACUACCGUAUAAAAUCCAGAUUGUCUGCUUUGAACUGGAUUGGAUGGCAGUGUGGACUCUGAUAAUCCAGUUCAAAGCAGAUAUUGUGGAUUAUCUGCUUUGAUAUUCUGGGUUAUCUGGUUGUUGUUGCUGUGACUCAGCCUUUGUGUGACUCUGAUGAGGAUUCUGGGAUGCAGUUUCAGGAUGAUGGGAUUCAGGUUAAGGAUGAGUUUCAAGAUGACUCUGAUGAGAAUUAUGGGAUUCAGGUGCAGAGUGUUCCUGCUGUAGGAGAUGAGGAGCAGUGAGGCUUUCCCAUGGGAAGAAAUGAUGUUGUUAAUGAUGAUGGUUUUCAGGUGCAAGAAGCAGAAAGGGAGAGCGGUUCCCAGCCUCAGUUUGAUAACGCUAAUGAGCCCUGUGGCCUUGAGAGUGAAAGUGAUGAGGCUGCUCUACUAGAUCAGGCUAGCCAUCUGGAAUUUCAGAGGUUGUGUAGAAGUCUCAGAAUAGCAAAUAAGAGGGAGGUCAAAGGGCAAA